GACGAACGCUGGCGGCGUGCUUAACACAUGCAAGUCGAACGGUAAGGCCCUUCGGGGUACACGAGUGGCGAACGGGUGAGUAACACGUGGGUGAUCUGCCCUGCACUUCGGGAUAAGCCUGGGAAACUGGGUCUAAUACCGGAUAGGACCACUGCCUGCAUGGGUGGUGGUGGAAAGCUUUUGCGGGUUGGGAUGGGCCCGCGGCCUAUCAGCUUGUUGGUGGGGUAAUGGCCUACCAAGGCGACGACGGGUAGCCGGCCUGAGAGGGUGACCGGCCACACUGGGGCUGAGAUACGGCCCAGACUCCUACGGGAGGCAGCAGUGGGGAAUAUUGCACAAUGGGCGCAAGCCUGAUGCAGCGACGCCGCGUGAGGGAUGACGGCCUUCGGGUUGUAAACCUCUUUCAGUAGGGACGAAGCGCAAGUGACGGUACCUACAGAAGAAGGACCGGCCAACUACGUGCCAGCCGCCGCCGUAA
rnacentral:rRNA from 1 species